GAUGAACGCUGGCGGCGUGCCUAAUACAUGCCAGUCGAGCGAACAGACGAGGAGCUUGCUCCUCUGACGUUAGCGGCGGACGGGUGAGUAACACGUGGAUAACCAACCUAUAAGACUGAGAUAACUUCGGGAAACCGGAGCUAAUACCGGAUAAUAUAUUGAACCGCAUGGUUCAAUAGUGAAAGACGGUUUUGCUGUCACUUAUAGAUGGAUCCGCGCCGCAUUAGCUAGUUGGUAAGGUAACGGCUUACCAAGGCAACGAUGCGUAGCCGACCUGAGAGGGUGAUCGGCCACACUGGAACUGAGACACGGUCCAGACUCCUACGGGAGGCAGCAGUAGGGAAUCUUCCGCAAUGGGCGAAAGCCUGACGGAGCAACGCCGCGUGAGUGAUGAAGGUCUUCGGAUCGUAAAACUCUGUUAUUAGGGAAGAACAAAUGUGUAAGUAACUAUGCACGUCUUGACGGUACCUAAUCAGAAAGCCACGGCUAACUACGUG
rnacentral:rRNA from 1 species